GACAGAGGGGGCAAGCGUUGCUCGGAAUUACUGGGCGUAAAGGGCGCGUAGGCGGGAUGGCAAGUCGGUCGUGAAAUCCCUCGGCUCAACCGAGGAACGUCGAUCGAUACUGCUGUUCUUGAGGAUUGCAGAGGAGACUGGAAUUCCUGGUGUAGCGGUGAAAUGCGCAGAUAUCAGGAGGAACACCGAUGGCGAAGGCAGGUCUCUGGGCCACUACUGACGCUGAGAAGCGAAAGCAUGGGGAGCGAACAGG
rnacentral:rRNA from 1 species